rnacentral:rRNA from 1 species
GACGAACGCUGGCGGCGUGCCUAAUACAUGCAAGUAGAACGCACAGUUUAUACCGUAGCUUGCUACACCAUAGACUGUGAGUUGCGAACGGGUGAGUAACGCGUAGGUAACCUGCCUGGUAGCGGGGGAUAACUAUUGGAAACGAUAGCUAAUACCGCAUAAUAUUGAUUAUUGCAUGAUAAUUAAUUGAAAGGUGCAAUUGCAUCACUACCAGAUGGACCUGCGUUGUAUUAGCUAGUAGGUGAGGUAACGGCUCACCUAGGCGACGAUACAUAGCCGACCUGAGAGGGUGAUCGGCCACACUGGGACUGAGACACGGCCCAGACUCCUACGGGAGGCAGCAGUAGGGAAUCUUCGGCAAUGGACGAAAGUCUGACCGAGCAACGCCGCGUGAGUGAAGAAGGUUUUCGGAUCGUAAAGCUCUGUUGUAAGAGAAGAACGGGUGUGAGAGUGGAAAGUUCACACUGUGACGGUAUCUUACCAGAAAGAGACGGCUAACUACGUG